UACGAAGGGGGCUAGCGUUGCUCGGAAUCACUGGGCGUAAAGCGCACGUAGGCGGACUCUUAAGUCGGUGGUGAAAUCCUGGAGCUCAACUCCAGAACUGCCUUCGAUACUGGGAGUCUCGAGUCCGAGAGAGGUGAGUGGAACUGCGAGUGUAGAGGUGAAAUUCGUAGAUAUUCGCAAGAACACCAGUGGCGAAGGCGGCUCACUGGCCCGGUACUGACGCUGAGGUGCGAAAGCGUGGGGAGCAACAGGAUUAGAU
rnacentral:rRNA from 1 species